ensembl:miRNA
UUGUGCUUGAUCUAACCAUGUGCCGCCGCCUACACUCGCCUCACAUGGUUCCGUCAAGCACCAGG